AUGGCGGCGGCGUGGAUGGACCCUGCGCAGAUAUCUGUGACCUUCGAUGAUGUGGCCGUGACUUUUACCCAGGAGGAGUGGGGGCAGCUGGACCCGGCCCAGAGGACCCUGUACCAGGAGGUGAUGCUGGAAAACUGUGGCCUUCUGGUGUCUCUCGGGUGUCCUGUUCCUAGACCUGAGCUGAUCUACCAGCUGGAGCACGGGCAGGAGCUGUGGACGGUGAAGAGAGACCUGUCUCAAAGCGCCUAUCCAGGUGACAAAGGAAAACUCAAGACCACAGAAUCUACUGCUAGUGAGCCAGCCCUGUCUGAGGGAGUCUCCUUCCAGGAACAAUUAACACAAGGAGUUCCAGGGAUCUCCCAGGUGGGCCGAACUAAGGAUCAGGAUGGGUCAUUGGAAAUGCAGGAGGGACACUUGAUGCCAGAGAUAGACCCCCAGAAGGAGAAACUCCCUGGGAAAUCAAGCUCUGAACAUGGCAACAUAGGGACAACUGAUAAUGUGUGUUCAGGGAUUGUAAAGGAGCCAGUCCCUUUGGGAAGUGCUGUCCAUGACCAUGACUCAUGUGAGUCAGGUAAAGAUUCUGUGAUUCAGGAAGAAGAAAAUAUCUUUAAAUGCAAUGAAUGUGGGAAAGUUUUUAACAAGAAACGCCUCCUUGCUCGACAUGAGAGGAUUCACUCUGGAGUGAAGCCCUAUGAAUGUACCGAGUGUGGGAAAACUUUUAGUAAAAGCACUUAUCUCCUUCAACACCACAUGGUCCACACAGGGGAGAAGCCCUAUAAGUGUAUGGAGUGUGGGAAGGCCUUCAACCGUAAGUCACACCUUACACAGCACCAGCGGAUUCACAGUGGAGAGAAGCCUUAUAAGUGCAAUGAAUGUGGAAAGGCCUUUACCCAUCGCUCCACUUUUGUCUUGCAUAACAGGAGCCACACUGGAGAAAAACCCUUUGUGUGCAAAGAAUGUGGAAAAGCCUUCCGAGAUAGGCCGGGUUUCAUUCGUCACUACAUCAUCCACAGUGGCGAGAAUCCCUAUGAAUGCUUUGAGUGUGGCAAGGUAUUUAAACACAGGUCAUACCUCAUGUGGCACCAGCAGACUCACACUGGGGAGAAGCCCUAUGAGUGCAGUGAGUGUGGGAAAGCCUUCUGUGAGAGUGCAGCCCUCAUUCACCACUACGUCAUCCACACUGGGGAGAAGCCCUUUGAGUGCCUAGAGUGUGGGAAGGCCUUCAACCACAGGUCAUACCUCAAGAGGCACCAGAGGAUUCACACUGGGGAGAAACCCUAUGUGUGCAGCGAGUGUGGAAAGGCCUUCACCCACUGCUCUACUUUCAUCUUGCAUAAAAGGGCCCACACUGGAGAAAAACCUUUUGAGUGCAAAGAAUGUGGGAAAGCCUUUAGCAAUCGUGCAGACCUCAUUCGACACUUCAGCAUCCACACUGGAGAGAAGCCCUAUGAGUGCAUGGAGUGCGGGAAGGCCUUCAACCGCCGUUCAGGGCUCACAAGGCACCAGCGGAUUCACAGUGGAGAGAAGCCCUAUGAAUGCGUCGAGUGUGGGAAAACCUUCUGUUGGAGCACAAACCUCAUUCGACACUCUAUCAUCCACACUGGAGAGAAGCCUUAUGAGUGCAGUGAGUGUGGAAAAGCCUUCAGUCGCAGCUCAUCCCUCACUCAGCAUCAGAGGAUUCAUACUGGGAGAAACCCUGUCAGUGUAACAGAAGUGGGAAGACCCUUCACAAGUGGGCAGUCCUCAGUCAACCUCCAAGAGCUCCUACUGGGGAAAGACUUCUUGAAUGUAACCACUGAGGAAACAUCUUACUCAGAAUCUGAUCAUUCAUACCAAAGAGAAACCCCUCAGCAAGCAUCUGCUAACAAUUCCCGAAAUUUCCGCAUCCACGCACGACCCCUCUGCCGGCGCUCAGACACAGGUGGAAGUGCCCACGUGAAACAGACGCUCGAAACUGCCCAUGCUCCAGACUGGAGUCCCGACCUCCCCCCAGCCUCGCUCAGGGGCGGCCUCCCCAGCUCAGAGGCUCGCACACCGCUCCUCGGGCUCCCGGGGCCGCCUCCACGCGUCAAGGCCCCGCAGCACGUGGCGCUGGACCAGAGGCGGCCCAAGAGGGGCCGUGUGGUGCGCGUGCGCCGCGUCGCAGCGGGCUUCCAGCGUCCGGUGUCGGCGGGCACAUGCCCGCUCGAGCGUCCGUCUUCGCGGCAGGACGAGCGCCAGGACCCUGACACCCGUCCCUCUUCCUCCGUAACGGGGUGUCACGUGAGCGCCCGCUGGGGCGCGGGUCGCUGUCCCCGCAGCCCUGACUCGACGCCCUGGGCCUCGGGCGCAUCUCACACUGGGGAACUCAGGCUCGGAGUGCGACAGUCAGCCAAGGUCACCCCGCUCUGGGCAGCGAACGGGUGCAGUCGGCUGAAUCCUGCAGGCCCCUCGGCCGCUGCCCCUCCGGGUCCUGCUCUGUGCACAGGGUCCUAUGAUGGCGGCGGCGUGGAUGGACCCGGUGCGGCCAUGACAGACACUGUGGCAAAGGCUGGUCUCAUGGCCACAGCCUGCGUUGUCCUCAGUAACUUCUGUGUUCUGGGCCUGAAGUAUUCUUUCCUCAGGGUAGUCUCUGAGGAACAGAAGGCAAUGGGACCUGAUCCAGGCCCUGCCACUUCCCAAGCAGGUGCCACCACCUCAGGUGAUCGUCCUGUGAGACCAACACACUGCCUGUGUUUGACUUUUCAGAUGCCUGUGACCUUCGAAGAUGUGGCCGUGACUUUUACCCAGGAGGAGUGGGGGCAGCUGGACCCGGCCCAGAGGACCCUGUACCAGGAGGUGAUGCUGGAGACCUGUGGGCUCCUCGUCUCUCUGGGCUGUCCUUUGCCCAAACCAGAGCUGUUCUACCCAUUGGAUCACAGCCCAGAGUUACACACGUUGAAGAGAGGCCUCUCCCCUAACUCCUGCCCAGGUGACAGUACAAAACCCGGGACCACAGAGCUUUCCCUUUCUCACCUUGCCUUAUCUGAGGAAGUCUCACCACAGGAACAACUGACUCAGCAAGCUCUGGGGGACUCCCAGCUGGAGCAAGGCAAAAAUCAGGAUAGGCCAUCAGAAAUGCUGGAAAGCCAGUUGAAACCAGGGAUAGACCCCCAAAUGGAGAAGCUCCCUGGGAACAUGAAGCCUGAACAUGAUGGUUUAGGGACAGGUGAUGGUGUACACUCAAGGACUGUACGGGAGCUGAUCCCUCCAGGACGUGUUCUCCACAAAUAUGACUCACAGGGACUACUGAAAGAUCCCUUGAUUCAUAAAGGAAAACAUCCCCAUCAGUGUGAGGAAUGUGGGAAAGUGUUUACCAAGAAUUGCUUUCUUGUGCGACAUGAACAGAUUCACUCUGGAGCGAAGCCCUAUGAAUGCACUGAGUGUGGGAAAACUUUUAGCAAGAGCACACACCUCCUCCAGCACCACAUGAUCCACACAGGGGAGCGACCCUAUGAGUGCAUGGAAUGUGGGAAGGCUUUCAACCGCAGGUCACACCUCACAAGACACCAGCGGAUUCACACUGGAGAGAAGCCUUAUAAGUGCAGUGAAUGUGGAAAGGCCUUUACCCACCGCUCCAAUUUAGUCUUGCAUAACAGAAGCCACACUGGAGAAAAACCCUUUGUGUGCAAAGAAUGUGGGAAAGCCUUCCGUGAUAGGACUGGUUUCCUUCGACACUACAUCAUCCACACGGGAGAGAAGCCCUUUGAGUGCAUAGAGUGUGGGAAGGCCUUCAACCGCAGGUCCCACCUCACGUGGCACCAGCAGAUUCACACUGGAGUGAGACCGUUUGAAUGCAGUGAAUGUGGGAAAGCCUUUUGCGACAGCACGGAUCUCAUUCAGCACUAUGUCAUCCACACAGGAGAGAAGCCAUACAAGUGCCUCGAGUGUGGGAAGGCCUUCUACCGCCGGUCACACCUCAAGCAGCACCAGCGGAGUCACACUGGGGAGAAGCCCUAUGUGUGCAGUGAGUGUGGAAAGGCCUUCACCCACUGCUCUACUUUCAUCUUGCACAAAAGGGCCCACACUGGAGAAAAACCCUAUGAAUGCAAAGAAUGUGGGAAAGCCUUUAGCAAUCGAUCAGACCUCAUCCGACACUUCAGCAUCCACACUGAGGAGAAGCCCUAUGAGUGCACGGAGUGUGGGAAGGCCUUCAACCGCCGUUCAGGGCUCACAAGGCACCAGCGGAUUCACAGUGGAGAGAAGCCCUAUGAAUGCAGGGAGUGUGGGAAAUCCUUUUGCUGGAGCACAAGCCUUAUCCGACACUCCGUUAUCCAUACUGGAGAGAAGCCUUAUGAGUGCAGUGAGUGUGGAAAAGCCUUCAGUCGCAGCUCAUCCCUCACUCAGCAUCAGAGGAUUCAUACUGGGAGAAACCCUGUCAGUGUAACAGAAGUGGGAAGACCCUUCACAAAUGAGCAGCCAUCAGUCAUCCUCUAAGAGCUCCUACUGGGGAAAGACUUCUUGAAUGUAACCACUGAGGAAACAUCUUACUCAGAAUCUGAUCAUUCAUACCAAAGAGAAACCCCUUAG